rnacentral:rRNA from 1 species
CUUAGUGGCGGACGGGUGAGUAACGCGUGGGAACCUGCCCUGUACAGGGGGAUAACACUUAGAAAUAGGUGCUAAUACCGCAUAAGCGCACAGUAUCGCAUGAUACAGUGUGAAAAACUCCGGUGGUACAGGAUGGACCCGCGUCUGAUUAGCUGGUUGGCGGGGUAACGGCCCACCAAGGCGACGAUCAGUAGCCGGCCUGAGAGGGUGAACGGCCACAUUGGGACUGAGACACGGCCCAAACUCCUACGGGAGGCAGCAG